GACGAACGCUGGCGGCGUGCUUAACACAUGCAAGUCGAACGGAAAGGCCCUGCUUUUGUGGGGUGCUCGAGUGGCGAACGGGUGAGUAACACGUGAGUAACCUGCCCUUGACUUUGGGAUAACUUCAGGAAACUGGGGCUAAUACCGGAUAGGAGCUCCUGCUGCAUGGUGGGGGUUGGAAAGUUUCGGCGGUUGGGGAUGGACUCGCGGCUUAUCAGCUUGUUGGUGGGGUAGUGGCUUACCAAGGCUUUGACGGGUAGCCGGCCUGAGAGGGUGACCGGCCACAUUGGGACUGAGAUACGGCCCAGACUCCUACGGGAGGCAGCAGUGGGGAAUAUUGCACAAUGGGCGGAAGCCUAAUGCAGCAACGCCGCGUGCGGGAUGACGGCCUUCGGGUUGUAAACCGCUUUCGCCUGUGACGAGGCGUGAGUGACGGUAAUGGGUAAAGAAGCACCGGCGAACUACGU
rnacentral:rRNA from 1 species